rnacentral:rRNA from 1 species
CCUACGGGGUGCAGCAGUGGGGGAUAUUGCACAAUGGGGGGAACCCUGAUGCAGCGACGCCGCGUGGGUGAAGAAGCGCCUCGGCGCGUAAAGCCCUGUCAGCAGGGAAGAAAAUGACGUUUCCUGAAGAAGAAGCCCCGGUUAACUACGUGCCAGCAGCCGCGGUAAUACGUAGGGGGCAAGCGUUAUCCGGAUUGACUGGUUGUAAAGGGGGCGCAGACGGCGAUGCAAGCCAGGAGUGACAGCCCGGGGCCCAACCCCGGGACUGCUCUUGGAACUGGGAGGCUGGAGUGUAGGAGGGGCAGGCGGAAGUCCUGGUGUAGGGGUGAAAUGCGUAGAUAUCAGGAGGAACACCGGUGGCGAAGGCGGCCUGCUGGACUGCAACUGACGUUGAGGCCCGAAAGCGUGGGGAGCAAACAGGAUUAGAUACCCUUGUAGUC